UAAGGAAUAUUGGUCAAUGGACGCAAGUCUGAACCAGCCAUGCCGCGUGAAGGAUGAAGGUCCUCUGGAUUGUAAACUUCUUUUAUAUGGGACGAAAAAGGGCUUUUCCAAGUCAACUGACGGUACCAUAUGAAUAAGCACCGGCUAACUCCGUGCCAGCAGCCGCGGUAAUACGGAGGGUGCAAGCGUUAUCCGGAUUCACUGGGUUUAAAGGGUGCGUAGGUGGGUUGGUAAGUCAGUGGUGAAAUCCCCGAGCUUAACUCGGGAACUGCCAUUGAUACUAUCAGUCUUGAAUACCGUGGAGGUCAGCGGAAUAUGUCAUGUAGCGGUGAAAUGCUUAGAUAUGACAUAGAACACCAAUUGCGAAGGCAGCUGGCUACACGAAUAUUGACACUGAGGCACGAAAGCGUGGGGAUCAAACAGGAUUAGAUACCCUGGUAGUCCACGCCCUAAACUAUGGAUACUCGACAUACGCGGUACACUGUGUGUGUCUGAGCGAAAGCAUUAAGUAUCCCACCUGGAAAGUACGAUCGCAAGAUUGC
rnacentral:rRNA from 1 species